GGCGAAGAAUGGUAAAACCAUUCUAGUUUUUGUGCUAUAAUGACUUGUGAAUAUUGCCUUUUGGGAUGAAGAAUAGCGAAACAUCUCUAAUUCUUGUGUUAUGAUGACUUGUGAAUAUUGCCCUUUGGGAUGUAGAAUAGUAAAACCGUUCUAGUUCUUGGGCUAUAAUGACUUGUAAAUAUUGCCUUUUUGGGAUGAAGAAUAGCGCAACAUCUCUAAUUCUUGUAAUAUAAUCACUUGUGAAUAUUGCCCUUUGGGAUGUAAAAUGGUGAAACCUCCCUAGUUCUUGUGUUAUGAUGACUUGUGGAUAUUGCCUUUUUGGAUGUAGAAUGGUAAAACCGUUCUAGUUCUUGUGCUUUAAUGACUUGUAAAUAUUGCCUUUAGGGAUGAAGAAUAGUAAAACAUCUCUAAUUCUUGUAAUAUAAAUCACUUGUGGAUAUUGCCCUUUGGGAUGUAGGAAGGUGAAACCUCUCUACUUUUUGUGUUAUGAUGACUUGUAAAUAUUGCCUUUUGGGAUGAAGAAUAGUGAAGCCUCUCUAGUUCUUAUGUUAUGAUUAUUUGUAGAAAAUGUUUUGCCUCUUGGGGUGAAGAAUGGUAUAAUCUUUCAGCCUUUUGUGUUCUGUGAUGACUUGUAAAUAUUGCCUAUUGGGGUGAAGAAUGGUAAAACCAUUCUAGUUCUUGUGCUAUAAUGACUUGUGAGUAUUGCCCUUUGGGAUGCACAAUAGUGAAACCUCCCUAGUUCUUGUGUUAUAAUGACUUGUGUACAUCUCUAAUUCUUGUGUUAUAAUGACUUGUAAAUGUUGCUUCUUGGGAUGAAGAAUAGUGAAACCUCUCUAGUUUUUUUGUCAUGAUUAUUUGGAAAAAUAAUGACUUGUGUUCUAAUGACUUGUGAAUAUUGCCUUUUGGGAUGAGGAAUAGUGAAACUUCUCUAGUUCUUGUGUUAAAAUGACUUGUGAAUAUUGUCUUUUAGGAUGAACAAUAGUGAAGCCUCUUGAGUUCUUGCGUUAUUAAGACUUGAUAAUAUUGCCUUUUGAAUGGUAAAACCCGUCUUUAUUGCCUAUUGGGAUUUAUGUUAAAAUGACUUGAAAAUGUAGCA